GCGAUUCUCCUGCCUCAGCCUCCCAAGUAGCUGGGAUUACUGGUGUGUGCCACUACCCCUGGCUAAUUUUUGUAUUUUUAGUAGAGACAGGGUUUCACCAUGUUGUAGUCUUGAACUCCUGGCCUCAGGUGAUCCACCCGCCUCGGCCUCCCAAAGUGCUGGGAUUACAGGCGUGAGCCACCGCACCUGGCCCCCGAACUCCUUUUUAGAGUUGGCUUUCCCACACCACUCCUGGUGCUAACUGUAUUAGAUCAGGUUCCCCAGGAACCCACACGACGACUGAGAACCAAAACCUGAGGACUGAAGGAAGCAGGAUUGGACAAAAGGCCAUGUGGGGUGCAGAGUUUCCGCUGGUCAAGAAUCUGAGGCUGUGUGUCUGGCUCAGGGGCUCUCAGGAGACAGUCAUCAAGCUACUGGCUUAGAAGCACCUCAAAACUCUGCUGUGGCUGGAGGGAACCAUUUCCAGGCUCACUCAUGUGACUGUCGGCAGGCCUCAGAAGACCCACUGCAAGCCCACUCACUGGGUGCUGGCAGGCUUGCGAUCCAUGGCACGACUUCCGUAGGCUGCCUAAGUAACCUCGUGACAUGGCGGCUGGUGAAUGGAGAGCAAGAGACCACACCAAGUCUGUUUGUAUAAUAACUUAAUCUUGGAAGUGACAUCUCAUCAUUUCUGCCAUAUUGUAUUUGUUUGAAGUCACUCAGUUGGCCCGGCGGGGUGGCUCACAUCUGUAAUCCCAACCUCACUUUGGGAGGCCGAGGCGGGUGGAUCACCUGAGGUCAGGAGUUCAAGACCAGCCUGGCCAACAUGGCGAAACCCG
rnacentral:lncRNA from 1 species